rnacentral:rRNA from 1 species
UCCCCUAGUAACUGCGAGUGAAGCGGGAAAAGCUCAAAUUUAAAAUCUGGCGGUCUUUGGCCGUCCGAGUUGUAGUCUGGAGAAGUGCUUUCCGCGCUGGACCGUGUAUAAGUCUCUUGGAACAGAGCGUCAUAGAGGGUGAGAAUCCCGUCUUUGACACGGACUACCAGUGCUUUGUGAUGCGCUCUCAAAGAGUCGAGUUGUUUGGGAAUGCAGCUCAAAAUGGGUGGUGAAUUCCAUCUAAAGCUAAAUAUUGGCGAGAGACCGAUAGCGAACAAGUACCGUGAGGGAAAGAUGAAAAGCACUUUGGAAAGAGAGUUAAACAGUACGUGAAAUUGCUGAAAGGGAAACGCUUGAAGUCAGUCGCGUUGUCCGGAACUCAACCUUGCUUUUGCUUGGUGCACUUUCCGGAUGACGGGUCAGCAUCGAUUUUGACCGUCGGAAAAGGGCUAGAGUAAUGUGGCACCUCCGGGUGUGUUAUAGACUCUGGUCGCAUACGGCGGUUGGGAUCGAGGAACGCAGCGCGCCGUAAGGCAGGGGUUCGCCCACUUUCGCGCUUAGGAUGCUGGCAUAAUGGCUUUAAACGACCCGUCUUGAAACACGGACCAAGGAGUCUAACAUACCUGCGAGUGUUUGGGUGGAAAACCCGAGCGCGUAAUGAAAGUGAAAGUUGAGACCCCUGUCGUGGGGGGCAUCGACGCCCGGACCUGACGUUCUCUGACGGAUCCGCGGUAGAGCAUGUAUGUUGGGACCCGAAAGAUGGUGAACUAUGCCUGAAUAGGGUGAAGCCAGAGGAAACUCUGGUGGAGGCUCGUAGCGAUUCUGACGUGCAAAUCGAUCGUCAAAUUU